rnacentral:tRNA from 1 species
AAUCCGUCGACUUUAAAAAUUUUGAGGGGGGCCGUUCCCUUAACUCCAAAAAG